GUGGGGAAUCUUGCGCAAUGGGCGAAAGCCUGACGCAGCCAUGCCGCGUGAAUGAUGAAGGUCUUAGGAUUGUAAAAUUCUUUCACCGGGGACGAUAAUGACGGUACCCGGAGAAGAAGCCCCGGCUAACUUCGUGCCAGCAGCCGCGGUAAUACGAAGGGGGCUAGCGUUGCUCGGAAUUACUGGGCGUAAAGGGCGCGUAGGCGGACAGUUUAGUCAGAGGUGAAAGCCCAGGGCUCAACCUUGGAAUUGCCUUUGAUACUGGCUGUCUUGAGUACGGGAGAGGUGAGUGGAACUCCGAGUGUAGAGGUGGAAUUCGUAGAUAUUAGGAAGAACACCAGUGGCGAAGGCGGCUCACUGGUCCGGUACUGACGCUGAGGUGCGAAAGCGUGGGGAGCAAACAGGAUUAGAAACCCUAGUAGUCC
rnacentral:rRNA from 1 species